UACGUAGGGGGCUAGCGUUGUCCGGAAUCAUUGGGCGUAAAGCGCGCGUAGGCGGCCCUGUAAGUCCGCUGUGAAAGUCAAGGGCUCAACCCUUGAAUGCCGGUUGAUACUGUCGGGCUAGAGUCCGGAAGAGGCGAGUGGAAUUCCCGGUGUAGCGGUGAAAUGCGUAGAUAUCUGCAGGAACACCCGUGGCGAAAGCGGCGCGCUGGACCACUACUGACGCUGAGGAACGAAAGCUAGGGGAGCAAACAGG
rnacentral:rRNA from 1 species